GGCUUAAUGCGGCCGGAAGCGAUGAUGUUGUUCACCAUCAAUUCUGCCUAUUGCAAGCCAGGAAAAACGCAGAGCAAGUC
ncrna:unclassified sequences type-P1 twister ribozyme